CCACGGCGUCAGCCACCACAUAAACCUCCGGUUUGCGGCUACCGCAACAGCAGCAGCUGCCUUUUUCACCCGCUCCCUCCUUGAUCUCCCUAAAAUUACUGUGACAGACGUUAACCGAAUCAUUCAGGCUAAUUCCGCCACAGCCAGCAAGGGAAAGGACAAAGGAUUUACACUCUACGUGUGAAAUUACUUCCAUAACUAUGAAGAUUGUACUGAGGGAUCCACGUCCUGUAGAGCUGACAGCUGCCAGUGUUGGUGUGUGGCCGGCCCCGCCCUGUGGAACCACGGAGCAGCUCUCUUGUACCAGACUGCCCACUACUCCCAGAAGAAGCUCACCUCUGUCCCACCAGUGCACAGCUGCACAGUCAGAACAGAGGUGGCACAAGCCAAGAACCAUGGAGUAACCAUUGCAUCCUUCAUAUUGUUAAGUGCAAAGCUAGUCAACUCUAUCCUUACCACAGAGAAGAUGAGAAAGUUCAAAUAUCAGCGAACAUCUGGUACAACUGCUGAACACUGUUGUGUGUCUUUAUGCCAGACUACUACAUGCUGGAAGUGUACCAUAUUAAUUUGUCUAGCUUUGUACUAGAACAUAGAAGUCUGUGGAUGGACAACAACCAUAAUUUGUGUGCGUUUGGAGAAUAGUUUCAAUGCAAUCACAUGACAUCACUGUUUCUUUCAUUGUCAUCUGUAUGUUCACCUACUAAGGAUAUUUCAUUGUUAACUUUGAAUUAACUACUAUUUGUUGAAAUACUUGUUUCUUUUUCAACUGAUGUGUAUGUUUUACUUAAUGUAACUUCAACUUUACUGCUUUUUGUGUUAACAUUUUGGUACUUUGACAUAAACACUUUGGUAUCAAGGCCUGUCAUAUUUUCUCAUUACUUCAUUUUAAAAUAUGCACAUAUUUGUAUAUUUGAUAGACAACUAAUCAACACCAGCCAUUU